GGCUGGUUCAAGUGCAGUGAUGUUUACAACUAAUUGAUGACAACCAGUUACAGAUUUCUUUGUUCCUUCUCCGCUCCCACUGCUUCAUUUGACUAGUGUUAA
ensembl:misc_RNA Y_RNA Y RNA